CCUCCGGGAGGCAGCAGUGGGGAAUAUUGCACAAUGGGCGCAAGCCUGAUGCAGCCAUGCCGCGUGUAUGAAGAAGGCCUUCGGGUUGUAAAGUACUUUCAGUCGUGAGGAAGGUGUUAAGGUUAAUAACCUUAGCAAUUGACGUUAGCGACAGAAGAAGCACCGGCUAACUACGUGCCAGCAGCCGCGGUAAUACGGAGGGUGCGAGAGUUAAUCGGAAUUACUUGGCGUAAAGGGUACGCAGGCGGGUAAAUCAGUUGGUUGUGAAAUCCCCGGGCUUUAACUGGGAAUGGGAAUCAAGAAUGGUUUGGUAGGGGCUUGGAGAGGGGGGUAGAAUUGCAUGUGUAGCGGUGAAAUGCGUAGGGAUGGGGAGGAAUCCCGGGGGCGAAGGCGGCCCCCUGGACAAAGACUGACGCGCAGGUGCGAGAGCGUGGGGAGCAAACAGGAUUAGAUACCCUUGUAGUC
rnacentral:rRNA from 1 species